rnacentral:rRNA from 1 species
GAUGAACGCUAGCGGCAGGCUUAACACAUGCAAGUCGAGGGGCAGCGAGGGUAGCAAUACCUGUCGGCGACCGGCGCAAGGGUGCGUAACGCGUGAGCAACAUGCCCGUAUCAGGGGGAUAAUCCAGGGAAACUUGGUCUAAUACCCCAUAGUAAUUUUUGUAGGCAUCUAUAGAAAUUUAAAGCUUUGGUGGAUACGGAUUGGCUCGCGUGACAUUAGCUAGAUGGUAGGGUAACGGCCUACCAUGGCUACGAUGUCUAGGGGUUCUGAGAGGAAGAUCCCCCACACUGGAACUGAGACACGGUCCAGACUCCUACGGGUGGCAG